rnacentral:pre_miRNA from 1 species
UCUGAUGAAUCAGCAAAGAAAGUGGUUUCUUGAGAUGGAAUCUACUCCUGAUGAAGAUGCUGUGAA